CACUUGACUAUAACAGUGAGUUAUCUCAAUUGACUGCUCACAGUCAGUAACAAAGUGCACUCCUUCUCUACACUUCCUUCUCCGAUUCUCACUACUGCACUUGACUAGUCUUAA
ensembl:misc_RNA Y_RNA Y RNA